GAUGAACGCUGGCGGCGUGCCUAAUACAUGCAAGUCGAGCGAACGGACGAGAAGCUUGCUUCUCUGAUGUUAGCGGCGGACGGGUGAGUAACACGUGGAUAACCUACCUAUAAGACUGGGAUAACUUCGGGAAACCGGAGCUAAUACCGGAUAAUAUUUUGAACCGCAUGGUUCAAAAGUGAAAGACGGUCUUGCUGUCACUUAUAGAUGGAUCCGCGCUGCAUUAGCUAGUUGGUAAGGUAACGGCUUACCAAGGCAACGAUGCAUAGCCGACCUGAGAGGGUGAUCGGCCACACUGGAACUGAGACACGGUCCAGACUCCUACGGGAGGCAGCAGUAGGGAAUCUUCCGCAAUGGGCGAAAGCCUGACGGAGCAACGCCGCGUGAGUGAUGAAGGUCUUCGGAUCGUAAAACUCUGUUAUUAGGGAAGAACAUAUGUGUAAGUAACUGUGCACAUCUUGACGGUACCUAAUCAGAAAGCCACGGCUAACUGCGUGCCAGCAGCCGCGGUAAUACGUAGGUGGCAAGCGUUAUCCGGAAUUAUUGGGCGUAAAGCGCGCGUAGGCGGUUUUUUAAGUCUGAUGUGAAAGCCCACGGCUCAACCGUGGAGGGUCAUUGGAAACUGGAAAACUUGAGUGCAGAAGAGGAAAGUGGAAUUCCAUGUGUAGCGGUGAAAUGCGCAGAGAUAUGGAGGAACACCAGUGGCGAAGGCGACUUUCUGGUCUGUAACUGACGCUGAUGUGCGAAAGCGUGGGGAUCAAACAGGAUUAGAUACCCUGGUAGUCCACGCCGUAAACGAUGAGUGCUAAGUGUUAGGGGGUUUCCGCCCCUUAGUGCUGCAGCUAACGCAUUAAGCACUCCGCCUGGGGAGUACGACCGCAAGGUUGAAACUCAAAGGAAUUGACGGGGACCCGCACAAGCGGUGGAGCAUGUGGUUUAAUUCGAAGCAACGCGAAGAACCUUACCAAAUCUUGACAUCCUUUGACAACUCUAGAGAUAGAGCUUUCCCCUUCGGGGGACAAAGUGACAGGUGGUGCAUGGUUGUCGUCAGCUCGUGUCGUGAGAUGUUGGGUUAAGUCCCGCAACGAGCGCAACCCUUAAGCUUAGUUGCCAUCAUUAAGUUGGGCACUCUAAGUUGACUGCCGGUGACAAACCGGAGGAAGGUGGGGAUGACGUCAAAUCAUCAUGCCCCUUAUGAUUUGGGCUACACACGUGCUACAAUGGACAAUACAAAGGGCAGCGAAACCGCGAGGUCAAGCAAAUCCCAUAAAGUUGUUCUCAGUUCGGAUUGUAGUCUGCAACUCGACUACAUGAAGCUGGAAUCGCUAGUAAUCGUAGAGCAGCAUGCUACGGUGAAUACGUUCCCGGGUCU
rnacentral:rRNA from 1 species